CCCAGACUCCUACGGGAGGCAGCAGUGGGGGAUAUUGCACAAUGGGGGGAACCCUGAUGCAGCGACGCCGCGUGGGUGAAGGAGCGUUUCGGCGCGUAAAGCCCUAUCGGCAGGGAAGAAGGAGGACGGUACCUGACUAGGAAGCCCCGGCUAACUACGUGCCAGCAGCCGCGGUAAUACGUAGGGGGCAAGCGUUAUCCGGAUUUACUGGGUGUAAAGGGGGCGCAGACGGCAGCGCAAGCCAGGAGUGAAAGCCCGGGGCCCAACCCCGGGACUGCUCUUGGAACUGCGCGGCUGGAGUGCAGGAGGGGCAGGCGGAAUUCCUGGUGUAGCGGUGAAAUGCGUAGAUAUCAGGAGGAACACCGGUGGCGAAGGCGGCCUGCUGGACUGCGACUGACGUUGAGGCCCGAAAGCGUGGGGAGCAAACAGGAUUAGAUACCCGCGUAGG
rnacentral:rRNA from 1 species